rnacentral:rRNA from 1 species
AUUGAACGCUGGCGGCAUGCCUUACACAUGCAAGUCGAACGGCAGCACGGGUGCUUGCACCUGGUGGCGAGUGGCGAACGGGUGAGUAAUAUAUCGGAACGUACCUUAUUGUGGGGGAUAACGCAGCGAAAGCUGUGCUAAUACCGCAUAAUCCCUAAGGGGGAAAGCGGGGGACCGUAAGGCCUCGCGCAAUUAGAGCGGCCGAUACCUGAUUAGCUAGUUGGUGAGGUAAAGGCUCACCAAGGCAACGAUCAGUAGCUGGUCUGAGAGGACGAUCAGCCACACUGGGACGGAGACGCGGCCCAGACUCGUACGGGAGGCAGCAGUGGGGAAUUUUGGACAAUGGGGGCAACCCUGAUCCAGCAAUGCCGCGUGAGUGAAGAAGGCCUUCGGGUUGUAAAGCUCUUUUGUCAGGGAAGAAACAGCAGCUCUAACACAGUUUGCGAAUGACGGUACCUGAAGAAUAAGCACCGGCUAACUACGUGCCAGCCGCCGCGGUAA